rnacentral:sRNA from 1 species
UAUAUAUAAAUCAAUCUUACUAGUUUUCUUAUUUUGAUUUCAUGAAUUUUUAUUUAUUUUUGGUAAAAAGUGAAAUUUUAUACCAUUUUUGAUUUGUGACAGAAGUUACAAAGAAAAGUAGAAACGGAUAAAAGCACUACAGAAAAUUUAAGACAAUAUUACUACUCAAAAAGAUUCGGAUCGAAACAUAGUGAAAAAUGGCCAAGUCGCAAAGUGAAACACCGAUUCCGAAUUCGUGAAACCCGGACAUUUGUGUGAUUGCCAUAAAACCGAAACUUGGAAUCCUCAUCGUUGUUGCCACGAAGCUAACUAUCUGAGGCCCGUCCACAAAACCUCAAAGAUAGAAGUGUAAGACUUCUCCGAAAACUAACGCAAAAAAAACACUUAGAUCUAUGUGUCGCCUCUAUUCAACAUUCAGGAAACCUUGCCAUAGCACCCAGGAGCUCACCUACACCAAUU